rnacentral:lncRNA from 1 species
UGAAGAUUAAAAUUAACUCUCCCAUGAUAGUGAAGAUUAAAAUUGUAACCCCUGCCUAUUUUCAGAUUUUAAUCACCAAAAUUAUACACACCCUACUUAAAACUUGAGUAUGAGAUCUGCCCAUUUUUAGAUCUAAUCACCUAAACAUCCCUCUUAAUCAUUAAGUGGGAGGCCUGUGACCCACGUGUGGGAUAGUGAGUGAUAAAUCAGAAUCGACUGACUGCCUUGUGGGCAGUCCUAAAACAGGGCUUCAACUGUGAUUGGUAGACGUAGAAUUAGGGGAAGGCACAGGAAGUGAUGUAAGAGAAAGUGUCUUUAAAAGGGAAUAACAACUUCCUGAGUGAGUUCUAAUGGUAGUUCUUCAUUUUUUUAAUGGCAGUUCUUCAUUUUUUUAAGUGGAGGCUGAUGAAGAAUGUGCUGACUGGACCUGAGACUCCGUUUCCUGGUAAGAAACUGAAGCAAACUGGGCUAAGUGACUUGCGCAGGGUCACAAAAAUAGUAAGUACCUGACACUAGAUUUGAACUUAGAAAAGAUGAGUCUUUCUGAAUCCACUCUAUCCAUUGCACCAACUAGCUGCUCAAACUAUUACACUAUUCCUAUGCAAAACUAUUAAAGUGGAGGAACUAGAUAAAGAAACUUCAUUCUAUCUUGCAG